AUUGAACGCUGGCGGCAGGCCUAACACAUGCAAGUCGAGCGGAAACGAUCCUAGCUUGCUAGGAGGCGUCGAGCGGCGGACGGGUGAGUAAUGCAUAGGAAUCUGCCCGAUAGUGGGGGAUAACCUGGGGAAACUCAGGCUAAUACCGCAUACGUCCUACGGGAGAAAGCAGGGGAUCUUCGGACCUUGCGCUAUCGGAUGAGCCUAUGUCGGAUUAGCUUGUUGGUGAGGUAAUGGCUCACCAAGGCGACGAUCCGUAGCUGGUCUGAGAGGAUGAUCAGCCACAUCGGGACUGAGACACGGCCCGAACUCCUACGGGAGGCAGCAGUGGGGAAUAUUGGACAAUGGGCGAAAGCCUGAUCCAGCCAUGCCGCGUGUGUGAAGAAGGCUUUCGGGUUGUAAAGCACUUUCAGUGAGGAAGAAAGCCUUGGGGCUAAUACCCCCAAGGGACGACAUCACUCACAGAAGAAGCACCGGCUAACUCCGUGCCAGCAGCCGCGGUAAUACGGAGGGUGCGAGCGUUAAUCGGAAUUACUGGGCGUAAAGCGCGCGUAGGCGGCUUGAUAAGCCGGUUGUGAAAGCCCCGGGCUCAACCUGGGAACGGCAUCCGGAACUGUCAGGCUAGAGUGCAGGAGAGGAAGGUAGAAUUCCCGGUGUAGCGGUGAAAUGCGUAGAGAUCGGGAGGAAUACCAGUGGCGAAGGCGGCCUUCUGGACUGACACUGACG
rnacentral:rRNA from 1 species